UCUUUCUCUCUCUCAAUUUUCUCUCUCUCUCUCUCUCUCUCUCUCUCUAUCACUGUUCUCUCUCAUUCUUUGUGUUCUCUCUCUCUCUGUUCUCUCUCUGUUUUCUCUCUCUCUGUUCUCUCUCUCAAGUCAACAUUACUUUCAGAGAUGAAUAUGGAAUUGAUUGCUACAGUAUCGUUACAGUGAAAUGACAGUCUUCUACGUAGUGGAAUGAUCUCGUCUCUACUGUCACUUCAUCAGGUCUUCUUCACUGUGUUUAGUAACUAAGUCAGAAGAGGUAACUUCCUGUCAUCAGGUCUUCUUCACUGUGUUUAGUAACUAAGUAGUGACUCAGUCAGAAGAGGUAACUUCCUGUCAUCAGGUCUUCUUCACUGUGUUUAGUAACUAAGUAGUGACUCAGUCAGAAGAGGUAACUUCCUGUCAUCAGGUCUUCACUGUGUUUAGUGUGUUUAGAGUGUGUGUGUGUGUGUGUGUGUGUGUGUGUGUGUGUGUGUGUGUGUGUGUGUGUGUGUGUGUGUGUGUGUGUGUGUGUGUGUGUGUGUGUGUGUGUGUGUGUGAUAUCUACGUGUGAAUCUACACUCUCUAUGGAGCUUCUCCUUAUGAUAUGAACUAACAGGAUGACUAGCAGACUCUAUGGAGCUCCUCCAUAUGAUAUGACCUAACAGGAUGUCUAGCAGACUCUAUGGAGCUUCUCCAUAUGAUAUCAACUAACAAGAUGUCUAGCAAACUCUAUGGAGCUUCUCAAUAUGAUAUGGCUUAUAAAUUGGGUCAUAUCAUGUCCCUAUUUUAUAGGACUAUUUUUACUAUUUCCAAGGAAAAAGAACAGAAACAACAAGUUAAUUUUCCUAGAAAAAGCCUUUCUGCCCUGUUUUAUAACCAGUUCAUAUUGAUUUCUGAGAAGUUUUGAGCUCAAAGUACCAAGUAAUCAGUCAUUCCACUAUCGGCUAAUGUUUUGGUAAAUAUCACCGUGCAUGAACCUUUAUGUCCUUCUCUUUAGAGAGAACAACCAAUCUCUUUCUCUCUUUCUCCAGCAGUGACAGCUGAACAGUCAGGGCUUUUUGUGUCCUUAUCGCCAUAUAAAGGUGGAGAAUGGCCCGUACGCGCCUGCAUACAGGUUUUAGAUUGCGAUUUCUGGCAUUUAACAAACGCUUUUAUCCAGAGAAACCUAAAGUAGUGAAUGCAUACAUUCGUGCGUAGCUACUUACUACUCUUCAUCAUUCAUAGCUACCCUUCAUCAUUCAUAGAUACAUACUACCCUUCAUCAUUCAUAGAUACAUACUACCCUUCAUCAUUCAUAGCUACCCUUCAUCAUUCAUAGUUACAUACUACCCUUCAUCAUUCAUAGCUACCCUUCAUCAUUCAUAGCUACAUACUACUCUUCAUCAUUCAUAGCUACCCUUCAUCAUUCAUAGAUACAUACUACCCUUCAUCAUUCAUAGUUACAUACUACCCUUCAUCAUUCAUAGCUACCCUUCAUCAUUCAUAGAUACAUACUACCCUUCAUCAUUCAUAGAUACAUACUACCCUUCAUCAUUCAUAGAUACAUACUACCCUUCAUCAUUCAUAGUUACAUACUACCCUUCAUCAUUCAUAGAUACAUACUACCCUUCAUCAUUCAUAGCUACAUACUACCCUUCAUCAUUCAUAGCUACCCUUCAUCAUUCAUAGUUACAUACUACCCUUCAUCAUUCAUAGAUACAUACUACCCUUCAUCAUUCAUAAAUACAUACUACCCAUCAUCAUUCAUAGUUACAUACUACCCUUCAUCAUUCAUAGUUACAUACUACCCUUCAUCAUUCAUAGAUACAUACUACCCUUCAUCAUUCAUAGCUACAUAUUACCCUUCAUCAUUCAUAGCUACCCUUCAUCAUUCAUAGAUACAUACUACCCUUCAUCAUUCAUAGUUACAUACUACCCUUUAUCAUUCAUAGAUACAUACUACCCUUCAUCAUUCAUAGAUACAUACUACCCUUCAUCAUUCAUAGUUACAUACUACCCUUCAUCAUUCAUAGUUACAUACUACCCUUCAUCAUUCAUAGAUACAUACUACCCUUCAUCAUUCAUAGCUACAUACUACCCUUCAUCAUUCAUAGUUACAUACUACCCUUCAUCAUUCAUAGAUACAUACUACCCUUCAUCAUUCAUAGAUACAUACUACCCUUCAUCAUUCAUAGCUACCCUUCAUCAUUCAUAGUUACAUACUACCCUUCAUCAUUCAUAGUUACAUACUACCCUUCAUCAUUCAUAGAUACAUACUACCCUUCAUCAUUCAUAGCUACAUACUGCCCUUCAUCAUUCAUAGCUACCCUUCAUCAUUCAUAGUUACAUACUACCCUUCAUCAUUCAUAGCUACAUACUACCCUUCAUCAUUCAUAGUUACAUACUACCCUUCAUCAUUCAUAGUUACAUACUACCCUUCAUCAUUCAUAGAUACAUACUACCCUUCAUCAUUCAUAGCUACAUACUACCCUUCAUCAUUCAUAGUUACAUACUACCCUUCAUCAUUCAUAGUUACAUACUACCCUUCAUCAUUCAUAGAUACAUACUACCCUUCAUCAUUCAUAGAUACAUACUACCCUUCAUCAUUCAUAGUUACAUACUACCCUUCAUCAUUCAUAGAUACAUACUACCCUUCAUCAUUCAUAGAUACAUACUACCCUUCAUCAUUCAUAGCUACCCUUCAUCAUUCAUAGUUACAUACUACCCUUCAUCAUUCAUAGAUACAUACUACCCUUCAUCAUUCAUAGCUACAUACUACCCUUCAUCAUUCAUAGCUACCCUUCAUCAUUCAUAGAUACAUACUACCCUUCAUCAUUCAUAGCUACAUACUACCCUUCAUCAUUCAUAGAUACAUACUACCCUUCAUCAUUCAUAGCUACAUACUACCCUUCAUCAUUCAUAGAUACAUACUACCCUUCAUCAUUCAUAGAUACAUACUACCCUUCAUCAUUCAUAGCUACCCUUCAUCAUUCAUAGAUACAUACUACCCUUCAUCAUUCAUAGAUACAUACUACCCUUCAUCAUUCAUAGCUACAUACUACCCUUCAUCAUUCAUAGAUACAUACUACCCUUCAUCAUUCAUAGAUACAUACUACCCUUCAUCAUUCAUAGUUACAUACUACCCUUCAUCAUUCAUAGUUACAUACUACCCUUCAUCAUUCAUAGCUACAUACUACCCUUCAUCAUUCAUAGUUACAUACUACCCUUCAUCAUUCAUAGAUACAUACUACCCUUCAUCAUUCAUAGUUACAUACUACCCUUCAUCAUUCAUAGAUACAUACUACCCUUCAUCAUUCAUAGCUACAUACUACCCUUCAUCAUUCAUAGAUACAUACUACCCUUCAUCAUUCAUAGUUACAUACUACCCUUCAUCAUUCAUAGCUACAUACUACCCUUCAUCAUUCAUAGCUACCCUUCAUCAUUCAUAGAUACAUACUACCCUUCAUCAUUCAUAGAUACCCUUCAUCAUUCAUAGAUACAUACAUACCUUAACGAAGGUUCUUUACUUAGCCAUAUGAUGGGAAUAAUCGACCACUUCCCUGUACAAAUAGCUAAUGUAUAACCCAGCCCAUACAAAGGCUAUAAAAGGUUAAACAGAGAUAAGAGUGAUUAGAGUCAACGUUGUGGUUUGUAAAUGGACUAAUGACUAACUGC
rnacentral:lncRNA from 1 species